GAUGAACGCUGGCGGCGUGCUUAACACAUGCAAGUCGAACGGAGUUGAUUUAAGGAAGCAAGCCUGCUUGAAGAAUUGAAUUAACUUAGUGGCGGACGGGCGAGUAACACGUGAGCAACCUACCUCUUACAGGGGAAUAACAACGGGAAACCGUUGCUAAUACCGCAUGAUAUGUGCUGAAGGCAUCUUUGGCACAUCAAAAGAGCAAUCUGGUGGGAGAUGGGCUCGCGUCUGAUUAGCUAGUUGGUAAGGUAACGGCCUACCAAGGCGACGAUCAGUAGCCGGACUGAGAGGUCGAACGGCCGCAUUGGGACUGAGACACGGCCCAGACUCCUACGGGAGGCAGCAGUGGGGAAUAUUGGGCAAUGGGCGAAAGCCUGACCCAGCAACGCCGCGUGAAUGAUGAAGGCCUUCGGGUUGUAAAAUUCUUUGGACAGGGACGAAGAAAGUGAC
rnacentral:rRNA from 1 species